CUGUAGACACGAGUUUGAUCAGUGGACGUCAGGACAACGGCUGGCGGCGUGCCUAACACAUGCAAGUCGAACGGAAGCAAGAUUCGGUUUUUGCUUUAGUGGCGAACGGGUGAGUAACGCGUGAGGAACCUGCCUUUCAGUGGGGGGACAACAGUUGGAAACGACUGCUAAUACCCCAUAAUAUGGGCGCUCCGCAUGGAGAGCCCAUUAAAGAGAGCAAUUUUGGUUACAGACGAGCAUGCGCUCCAUUAGCCAGUUGGCGGGGUAACGGCCCACCAAAGCGACGAUGGAUAGGGGUUCUGAGAGGAAGGUCCCCCACAUUGGAACUGAGACACGGUCCAAACUCCUACGGGAGGCAGCAGUGAGGAAUAUUGGUCAAUGGUCGGCAGACUGAACCAGCCAAGUCGCGUGAGGGAAGACGGCCCUACGGGUUGUAAACCUCUUUUGUCGGAGAGUAAAGUACGCUACGUGUAGCGUAUUGCAAGUAUCCGAAGAAAAAGCAUCGGCUAACUCCGUG
rnacentral:rRNA from 1 species